UACGUAGGGUGCGAGCGUUGUCCGGAAUUAUUGGGCGUAAAGAGCUCGUAGGCGGUGUGUCACGUCGAUCGUGAAAACUUGGGGCUUAACUCUGAGCUUGCGGUCGAUACGGGCAUCACUGGAGUUCGGCAGGGGAGACUGGAAUUCCUGGUGUAGCGGUGAAAUGCGCAGAUAUCAGGAGGAACACCGGUGGCGAAGGCGGGUCUCUGGGCCACGACCGACACUGAGGUGCGAAAGCGUGGGGAGCGAACCGG
rnacentral:rRNA from 1 species